AUUGAACGCUGGCGGCAGGCCUAACACAUGCAAGUCGAACGAGUGGCGGACGGGGGAGUAAUGUCUGGGAAAAUCCGCGUGGUGGGGGGGGAAAACCUGGAAAAGGUAGCUAAUACCGCAUACCCUCGGAUGUGCCCAGAUGGGAUUAGCUUGUAGGUGAGGUAACGGCUCACCCAGGCGACGAUCCCCAGCUGGUCUGAGAGGAUGACCAGCCACACUGGAACUGAGACACGGUCCAGACUCCUACGGGAGGCAGCAGUGGGGAAUAUUGCACAAUGGGCGCAAGCCUGAUGCAGCCAUGCCGCGUGUAUGAAGAAGGCCUUCGGGUUGUAAAGUACUUUCAGCGGGGAGGCGUUACCCGCAGAAGAAGCACCGGCUAACUCCGUGCCAGCAGCCGCGGUAAUUC
rnacentral:rRNA from 1 species